UGGUUUAAUAGGUGAUGAAACUCUUUCAGCAAACAGUUCUGCUUCUGAGAAUUCAUGACUGACAAACCUGUUAUAUUCAUCUUGAGCCA
rfam:Triticum aestivum genome assembly, contig: Triticum_aestivum_CS42_TGACv1_scaffold_342769_4DL